UCAAAAAGAAACAUUAUAGCAAAGUAGGUCCAACCCAAUGAGAACCAGCAAAAACACAACUUUCUCACUUUCACGUUCACUCACAAGACCAGUGGGUUACACAGGAGUUGCUGGGAAAAGCUUCUCUCAAGAGUUAUUGAGCAGAAACUUCCAACUCUAGGCCCUGAAAGGUAACCAUACUAUAAAAUAAAACAGAGGAAAAAUGUCCUAGGACUGAUAAGGAGCAGGAAGAAUAUGUUAAUUGUGGUGAAAAAUGACCCGAAACAUAACUUUUGACUACUUUUUCUGUUUUCUUCCUUGUCCCUAGAUCCUCUCCCUAGCUCUUACAACAAAUACCCAGUUCCUGUGGGUUUGUAACAUCUCGUUAUUCCUGAAGGAACAGAUCUGGAAGAAGGCAGACUUUUCUGUAAGCCCAAAAAUUCUUCAGGGUUCCUGGUCGCCCAGCAUGGCCAGGGUCUCAAACCGUCUAAUUCAAUCUGCUCUAAUGGAGUCAAGCUGACAGUAAAGAGAAGAUCAGAAACAGCGAGUCUAAUCUGCCUAUAUGGGAGAAAAUUCAGCAAACAGGAACCAGCUCAGAGACCAAGAAAACCAAACAAGGUUAUUAACCCACAUCAGAACACCAGAGAGAUAACAAGAAGUUGGUUCCAAGAUGAAAAAUGCAAGAGAGAAGCAGAUUGUGGAAUAAAAGAGAGGAUGUUCCAUGUUCAUAUACACCUGAUUGUAGUUAGAGCCUCACCCUUCCUUUCUAUCUCAGCAGGGACCUUCUGGAAAAGCUUUUCAUUCUGUGCACUUUUCUUUCUCUGGCUUUCUUUGUCUCUAGAUUUUCUUUGUUCUGUGCCUGAUCUGUCAUAAUCCUCUGAGGUUUUAUUCUCAUUCCUCUGCAUCCCCCCCUGAAAAAAAUCUUAUUUUCUUACAAUUUCAGGUAUCCCAUAAUACUAAUUAUGGCUAAGCACCUCUUUGUUUCUAUGUGGAUCUUUUCUUGAAUCCUUGUUUCAUACCAUUAACUGCAUACAAAAUAUCUCUAUUUAGAAAUGAUAUUGCAAUUUCAAACUCAACUGUAUGAAAGUAUUUUUAUUGGUAUCUUAAAAACACAUUUCCACUGAUAAUACCAAUAUUUGAGUACUCCUCACCUUGUGUUCAGAUUACUGCAAUGCAUUCCUAUCAGGUAAUUCUUCCUUCAAUCUCCUGCACCUCAAAUCCAACUUAUUAAUAUCUUCAAAUUUAAAAGAAUUAAAUUCCAUUUUUAGCAUAUUAUCCCUCUGAUUGAAAGGAAAAAAUCUUAAUUUUUUUGUUACAAUAAAAUUUCUUAACUUAAAAUCA